ensembl:lncRNA
GCCAUUUAAGAUUAUUUUUUAAUUUAGUAAAAUAAUUUAAAAAAUUUCACCAUUGUAUUGUUUGCCUUAGCCCAUAUACAAGUUAAUCAUAAGGGGAACCAUAUUCAGGAAUUCAAGAAAUCCAGAAAGAAAAACACAGCGACACAAACCAUUUACCAGUGACAAAGGAGUCAGCAAACUGUUGGAAAACAGAGAGCUUGUAAUAAUGAAAAAAGGACAGAGUUUUGUAACCAAUCACUUAUUUUCUUUUAAAAACACAUAACCACAUUAACUUUUUGCUUUAUACAACCAUCUAGAAACUAUAAAACAGUACCACAUUGUGCAUUUAACCUACUUAUCAAGAAGGGAACUCCACAUGUCAUAAGAAUACUACCCAUAUAAGGAAAAAGGAGACAGCUAAUAGCAUAGUCACAGAUACAACAUGAGUCCAAGCAAGCAUCAAUUCUUUGACGUCACCUUUUCUAUUUACCAGAGUGGAGAGUAAGAAAGAAAGCAAAGGAGAAAUAAGAAGGAAAGAAAGAAGCAACCACAGGGGACUAAUCACAAUCCAUAGUUACUUUUGACAACUAUAGCUCAGGAUUUCAUAGAAUGGUAUCAUUUGACCAACACGGUGUGGAGGAGGGAGGGUGUGUGAAAGAAACACAAGUACAGGGACAGAGUUUGAAAAGAAAAAUACAUUUUUUUUUUUACCCUAUUUCCUUCCUAAAUACUCUUCAUUGAUCCAUGCAUCUGUGCUAACCCAGAAAAUGGCAAAAAAUUAAUUUUCACAAUGUGAUAAAUCUUUAAAAGUUUUGUUCUUUUUGCAACUAGAAUGUGAGUGGCUACGUUUUUACUUUACACUUUGAAAUAACGUCAUGAAUAAUUACUCUUCAAGGAUUUCCUACUAUCUUGUACGGAUGUGGAUGAUCAGGAAAGUGUAGGUAGGGACUUCAAAGGUAGUGACCAAGGGAUAGUGAGAUGGAAUCCUUGCUCUUUCAAGUCCGCAUCUUUCUAGUAGUACUGCAAUCUGUCCUCUGACAUGCAGUAGUACAGAGGAAAGGGGGUACAGGGGCAGUUUAGUCACAUACCUGGUUUGAAGGUAUACAAGAUGCAAUUGUGUAAUUAACAGACCAAGGCAAAAAAUAGGUUAUUUGAUUGUCCUUAGAUUGAUGGCACCAUACAAAAAUAAACAAACAAAAACUGAAGGUGGCACUGAUUAAAAUAAACCAAAAGUUUGCUACAAGGAAACAUACUUAAGUUGAAAAUUAGUAUAAUGAUGCUCCUCUUUUCAGGGGAAACUCACUUGUCCCUUUUGCUUCCUUUUCCACUAGGAAUUAAGAAAAUAUGUACUGGAAAGUUGUUUCUUAGGGCAAAUCACUGUCAAGUUUUGACAAUUCAUACAAGGCAUCAUGAGCCAUACCACAAAGCAGGCUUUUCUCCAUUUCCAGGCAAAAUUCUCCCAUUGUUUAAUUUAAACUUUUCCAAAUUUAGUGAGAUUUUACCUUUUCAUAUUUGGUAAAUGGAGUGGGGUUAAUGCUGGUUAGUUGGUUGAUCUGUACCACUGAAAAAUACACAUUUCUUACUCUAUAAUAAAAUGAACUCUAUUGCCAGUUACCAAGAGUAACACUGUAUAGACUUACAAUGCAGAAAAGCUGGGAGACUGUGAGAUUGAGUAUGGACUGUAUUUGUAAUGCAGAAAUAUAUAUAUUUAGAAAAUCUUUAACUUACCUUGUUUUAAAUAAUU